rnacentral:rRNA from 1 species
GACGAACGCUGGCGGCGUGCUUAACACAUGCAAGUCGAACGGACAGGCCCUGCUUUUGUGGGGUGCUCGAGUGGCGAACGGGUGAGUAACACGUGAGUAACCUGCCCUUGACUUUGGGAUAACUUCAGGAAACUGGGGCUAAUACCGCAUAGGAGCUCCUGCUGCAUGGUGGGGGUUGGAAAGUUUCGGCGGUUGGGGAUGGACUCGCGGCUUAUCAGCUUGUUGGUGGGGUAGUGGCUUACCAAGGCUUUGACGGGUAGCCGGCCUGAGAGGGUGACCAGCCACAUUGGGACUGAGAUACGGCCCAGAAGCCUACGGGAGGCAGCAGUGGGGAAUAUUGCACAAUGGGCGGAAGCCUGAUGCAGCAACGCCGCGUGCGGGAUGACGGCCUUCGGGGUGUAAACCGCUUUCGCCUGUGACGAAGCGUGAGUGACGGUAAUGGGUAAAGAAGCACCGGCUAACUACGUG